UGAGCACCAGCCUCCGACAGCCCACAGUUGAUCACCUACAAAAACACAACCCAUGCAACUACGUCCAACAUUCAAAGAGCACAUCUAUGAAAAAUAUCCACCUAAAACGUAUAUGCAUCCAUUGUGUACGGCUACCUAAAAUGUGAAGUUUUAUGCAUACAUUAGGACAAAUCGACCUCUGAUUAUGCUUUUAUCGUAAGCGACAAAAGGUAAAAUGGCGCUUACGAUAUUUUUCCUGAACAUGCUGAGAGGAAAGUUAUCAAAGAAUUGGCGCCUGCGAUAGUUUUUAUGUUGUAUAAUUUGGAUAUUUAUAAACGAAGGAGUGCCGGUACUUUAAGGAUUUUUUGAAAAAAC